AUUGAACGCUGGCGGCAGGCCUAACACAUGCAAGUCGAGCGGAUGACAGGAGCUUGCUCCUGGAUUCAGCGGCGGACGGGUGAGUAAUGCCUAGGAAUCUGCCUGGUAGUGGGGGACAACGUUUCGAAAGGAACGCUAAUACCGCAUACGUCCUACGGGAGAAAGCAGGGGACCUUCGGGCCUUGCGCUAUCAGAUGAGCCUAGGUCGGAUUAGCUAGUUGGUGAGGUAAUGGCUCACCAAGGCGACGAUCCGUAACUAGUCUGAGAGGAUGAUCAGUCACACUGGAACUGAGACACGGUCCAGACUCCUACGGGAGGCAGCAGUGGGGAAUAUUGGACAAUGGGCGAAAGCCUGAUCCAGCCAUGCCGCGUGUGUGAAGAAGGUCUUCGGAUUGUAAAGCACUUUAAGUUGGGAGGAAGGGUUGUAGAUUAAUACUCUGCAGUUUUGACGUUACCGACAGAAUAAGCACCGGCUAACUCUGUGCCAGCAGCCGCAGUAACAC
rnacentral:rRNA from 1 species